CAUGUAAGUAUUACUUUAAUUAUUAGUCAAACAUGUCUGUUUCUGGUAACUUAGGCCAUCUACUGUUUUUUUUUUUCUUUCCUUUUUUCUGAUAAAGUUGCAUGCAGUAGAUGAAAUGAGCUGGAUGGGGUCAAAAUAAAGUUUUGGGACAUGCAUGUACUGCAUGCAUCUACCUUUUUAAAUUAUUGCAAAGUAGAAAUAGUACGAAAAUUGGAUGAAAGGGAAUUGUAAUAAUGGGUAGACAUUUACCCAUUGUCACCGGUGAAUUACGUACUAAACUAUAUAUGCUCCAUUUAACCCAAAAAAUACCAUUCUCCAAAGCUCCUACUUGUUGUAAUUCCUCAAUUAUUCCUUCCAAACUCUCAAAAUUAAUGUAUUUAUAAGAAAAAAAAUAACAAUUCAUUCUUUUCUUGUAUGGUAUUUUCAAUGUGUACGGGGUACAAUGGUUCAUUUAUUAGAUUAUUGAUAUAUGAACUUUGUAUUACGAGUAUGAUUUUGUGUGUGUAUUAUUCAUUAUAUUCUUUUUCAGAGUUUGUUAUCAUACAAUGUUCUUUAAAGUUUUAAAUAGAAGAUUAACAUAUUUAUAGUUUAGGAGUAAGAAGUACAUAUUCUUCAGGCUUGACAUAUAUGUUACGGAGUACUUUAUUCUUUUCAACCAGGCUGCAUUUUAAGUGCGUGAUGAAACUGAUGAUUAGGCGUGACGAUUGUUUAAAUUUAGUCUUUUACUCUCUCCGUCAUUUAUUUUUUUGCCUCAAUUUCUUUAGGUCGUCAUUUAAAUUUUACCCCAUUUUAUUUUUGGACAAAUAAGAUCACAUCUUUAAUCUCACAACCAUCUCAUUAACCCCACUACUUACCUCUCUUGUCAUUUUUUUUUGGAAAUUUUAGAAAAUAACACCACAAAAAAACACAAAUUUUGUUUAUAACACCACAAAAUUUAAAAGUUUGAUUAUAACACCACCAAAAAACCAAAAAAAUUGAUUUCACCACCUCUUACUAACGUCAUCCAAAAAACCUUAAGUAGGUCCCAUUUAGUAUACGUGUCAAGUAUAUACUGGAUAAAAAAAAACACAAAAAAAAAAAGAAAAAUCCUAACACUGUAACACUGUAAAGAUAAGAUGAUAAAAGAACGGUAAAAAGUAAAAUAUACACUUUGUAAAAGUGUGUUUAUAGAUUGAUUAUUGUGAAAUAAAGUUUUCAAAGGCCGGACUAUUAGUUUGGAUGGAACAGAGGACUUGUCUCUUUGCCAUGAUGAGGUUGCAUUGUAUAGUGCCUUUUGAAAUUAUACAACUUUCAAAAGUUCAAAAGUUGGUUGAUCAUAGCAUUAGCAUUAGCGAGGGUGCGAUUCAUUUGCGUAAUCAUAUCGAUUUCAAUAUAUUGCCCAGACGUGAAUCCUCCCGAGCUUGGAUUCGUUAAACUGCUUGUUUCAUACGGAUGGUUGCGAUGGCCCAAGGAUGCUUGUUGAGCCCGGGAACAACCUAGAUUUUACAGGAAUGAUGAGUCAAUCCCGGAAAUACAACCACUUGAAGACAAAUAAAAUCCACAACAUACAAAAUGGAGGAGACUAAAUAUGAAGACAUGACGGGAAAAUGUGGAUGCUACAAUAUGAAGAAUGCUAUCUCAUUCGGCCAUUCCCCAACUAUCUUAUGUAAACAUAGUUACUUAAACAUAUAUUCAAUAAUAUUUUGCUAA